UGGAAGUCCAAGAUCAAGGUGCUAUCAGGGUUGGUUUCGGCUGUGGCCUCUCUUCCUGGCUUGUAGACAGCUAUCUUCUCGCAGUGUCCUCACGUGGCCUCUUUGUGUGAAGGAAGCUGCUAAAGAAUGUGCUUGACUAAAACAAGGCAAUAAGCAAAAGGAAGUCAUAGCAUCCAGAAAAUGGGAUCCAUCAUGCGCACAAAGAAAAGGUGAAGAAAAUUUCCAGGAUGUUCAGAACCCACCAAAAACGAAAGAUUCUGGUCCAGAUCAGAAGAGAGGGAAACACUCUGAAAAAGUCCCUCAAAUACAAAAUUAAACAGAGUUUAAAU
rnacentral:lncRNA from 1 species